rnacentral:rRNA from 1 species
CUACCCUUUGGAUUGGGACAACCUGCCGAAAGGCGGGCUAAUACCAAAUAUGAUCACAGAGACUUCGGUCUUAGGGAUAAAAGGUGGCUGAGGUUUACAAGCUAUCACCAAAGGAGGAGCCUGCGCACCAUUAGCUUGAUGGUGGGGUAACAGCCCACCAUGGCUGUGAUGGUUAGCUGGUUUGAGAGGAUGAUCAGCCACACUGGAACUGAAACACGGUCCAG